AAAACCCCCUCACAGAUAAUGUGGUAUUGGUAGAAGUGGGUAGUACUAACAGUGCUUUGUCCCCACUCUACCAAAAUGAAUAGGCCAGAGAAGUGAACUUGGGUAACAGACUCUCAGAGUGUUUUAAAAUGCUAAACUAGUCUUACCCAGGUUGGAAUCUGAGCCACUGGACCCCCAUUUAGUCCAAAACAAAGA
rnacentral:misc_RNA from 1 species